GACGAACGCUGGCGGCGUGCUUAACACAUGCAAGUCGAACGCUGAAGCUCAGCUUUUGUUGGGUGGAUGAGUGGCGAACGGGUGAGCAACACGUGAGUAACCUGCCCCCUUCUUUGGGAUAACGCCCGGAAACGGGUGCUAAUACUGGAUAUUCACUGGUCUUCGCAUGGGGGUUGGUGGAAAGGGGUUUUCUGGUGGGGGAUGGGCUCGCGGCCUAUCAGCUUGUUGGUGGGGUGAUGGCCUACCAAGGCUUUGACGGGUAGCCGGCCUGAGAGGGUGACCGGUCACAUUGGGACUGAGAUACGGCCCAGACUCCUACGGGGGGCGGCAGUGGGGAAUAUUGCACAAUGGGCGCAAGCCUGAUGCAGCGACGCCGCGUGAGGGAUGGAGGCCGUCGGGUUGUGAACCUCUUUCGCUCAUGGUCAAGCCGCAACAAUGGUUGUGGUGAGGGUAGUGGGUAAAGAAGCGCCGGCUAACUACGUG
rnacentral:rRNA from 1 species